rnacentral:lncRNA from 1 species
CCACGUCAGCAAAACCGCUCUCCAAAACCGCUGAGGGAGUCAAAUUGCACUGGUUUCAUUAGUUCGGGGAUUUGUCCUAUCCGGUUUUCUGGUUAUGGGGUACGAAUUAGAUUCGGCGUACAAUUAAGGGAGUCAAAUUGGACUUUUUCCUUCAGUUUUCACUGUUAUCUUGGAAAAUCAUUAACGGGCCGAUGAACGGGCUACACAGUUAGGACUGUAGGAGCCCAUUCAGUACACUGAGCUGCAGUAGCAUGGGUAUUUAUGGAUUUUCUUUUGCCAUGUUCUCUCAUUUUGGAAAAAAAAAAGUCCAUUUUGCGUCGUCUAACCGGGUAUAAAAGCUGCUCAAAUAUAAAUGGCACUUCUAACAUACCCAUGGAGUAUUGACUAUCCUGAUUUACUGUUUUAACUUUGAGUACCACUGAUUUUUAUAUGAUUAAAAUGCGAUGAGCAAAAUGUUACUAGUACUCUCUUGUUAUACGAUGAUACAAUGCACUUCGAUAAUAUGACAUUUUAUAUUAUUUAUAAUCUAUUAUCAAAACUAAGUGGCCAAAGUUUAAGGAUUAAUAGUAUAUAAUGUUUAGAUUAUAAAAUAGAGGCAUUUAAAAUAUGAUCUAGAUUCCUCUGAUCUAUUAGUGUUUGUACACCAUUCUAUUCUUGGUCACUUAUUUUUAUUAGAGAAAAAUAAGAUUAGUUUUUUAUUUUCAGAAAAAAUAAGGUUUUUUACAGAGAAGAAUAACGUGGAUCGAGCAGAAAUAUAAGAGGUUAUCACAUUAUAACAACAAAUGAAUUGUACAUAAUAUAUUAUAGUAUCAAAACCAUGCUAGAUACCACAAUCGCUCCAAAGGUGUAGAAAUUAUCACAUUAACCAUUGAAGGAAGAAGGGUUUAUUUUUUAACAUCGUGAUCUAGAUUAUGAUGGUGUAAAUUAAUCGGUGUAGCUUUAUAAGAAAGACAAUUAUGUUUUUAUUAUUAGAAGCACAUGUCAUAUUUUCAUUUAUCCUUUAUUCUAGCUCUGCUAAAUUGUAUGGGAAAUGCGGAUUGUCCUCAACAAUUAGCAUUUGAUUUGUAUGAUAUAAGAUUCUGAAGUGGUUUAGUAACCGUCCCCAAAAUAAGUACGGAUGUUUUUCUUUGAUUUCAAGCACCUUGAUACUAUGAGGAUAUAUUAUGUUUUUCUUUGAUUUCAAGCACCUUGAUACUAAACUACACCUUUUAAGUUUCAAAACAUUCAGAAGGUGCUCAAGCUUCUAGUAGGGAGCAACCAAGUAAUAAUAACCUAAACCAGGACUAGUACCAAUCACAACCAAUAUAGGCAUGCUGAAGGUUUCUCACAAUGUUGAAAAUGUUCAUAGUGUUAAGUACUAAAAAUUAGGAAAGUUCCAUGAUGAAUAUAUGCAAAUUGUAAAAUGUCAUUACAUGUGAGAAUGAUAUGAACCUUGGUUUCCACAUUAAUGACACAAAACAUGAUAUGCAAAAAAAUGGACUUUACUUCUUGUACAGGGUAAAGUCCAUUUUUUCCCUUAGACUUUGCUCAAAGUCCAAUUUUCACCCUGACCUACAAAACCGAAUGUUUUCCGCUCCCCAAGUUUCAAAAUUAGGUUAAACCCCUGAAGCAUAUGUUGUUCUGGUUUUGUUUGAAGUGGUUGUGGUUUUCCUAGUUCAAACCCUUAUCAUGCACGUCUUGUUGAUUCACAUGUCACGAUUAAUUAGGCUCACAACCAUAAAACUUAAUUACUAAGUUGACUCUCAUGCUAGCGAAAACCUUUUCAUAUAGACCUAUAGAUGGCCAUAAGGCCUGAGGCCCGACGGCCCGGCCCAUGGCGCGACAUUUUGGCCCGGCCCAAACACGGC